GGAUGUGAACAAGAGACUGGGAGGAGCAACAGACUGGACAACUGACCUGACUUGUUCAAAGACAUACUGCCUGCCAUAUAAUGUCAUGCUCAGCAAUGAAACCUGGGGUAGAGGAAGAAGAAGGAGAUUUGAGGCUUCCAAGGUGGCCAGUGCCGUCAGAGACUAGUGGGCAUUGGUCUGUUUGUGAGAGAUGAGAAAAAGCCCAAAGAGAGCAGGGAGGAGGAAGAGGAAGAUUCCAGGCCCCGAGAGCGCCAGGCAGAGCGGCGUGUCCCUGGCACAGGAGGAGUGGAGGACAUGCGUUCCUCUGGGAUUAUGCAGAGCUGCUGGAAGUGAAGCUUGAAAACCAGCAGAACGGAAGCUUGGAAACUGAGCCCUGGACUGAAGCUGGUAAUUUACCUUAUUUGAAAUAAAAACAGCUGAAGUUGAAGCCAGCCGGAAAUUCAGAUGACUUGAAGCUGCGAGCAAAAUUAGCAUAGCACUCUGCAGGUUGAAACAUGGGGGAAGCAGAGUGAGGGACUGAGCCUUGAUGGCUGCCAGGGUAAGGAAGCUGCUGCUGCUUCUGCACUCUUAUUCAAAAUUAUCCCUUAAAGCUAAAAUCAUUGCAAGACCAGGCUAGAAGAACAUAAUAGUGCCUGCUGGCCUUAACAGCAACAAGC